rnacentral:tRNA from 1 species
GGGCCGGUAGUUCAGCCUGGUAUGAAUACCUGGCUCGCACCCGGGUGGUCGCGGGUUCAAAUCCCGCCCGGUCCA